CUAUUUCGGUUAUGCUCAACACAUGAGCACAAAACAGUAUUAGCCACCCAUACAGAGACUGCAGUUCUCGACAGAAAGGCUUUUAAGUGAAGUGGACAUUGCUGGUGACAGAAACAUUUUCGUUGACACUGCAACUCUGAGAACCAACCAUCAGCAAUGACAACAGUCCACUACCUCACCUCCGGCGCUCCUCAUUCACCUACUAAACUCAUUUUAACCCAGGCCAGGCCCAUGACCCAGACCCCUGACCCAUGGUUGGAGGAGGAGAACAUGCAGUUACAUGGUAAUGUUGGUGACCCCUGACCUUGAUGGUGCCUCUCCUUAUGAAGAUGAAAUGGCUUCCCUUCAGGUCCUCAUGGGUGGUGCUAAUGAACUGAAUGUGCAUCUCCUGAACCAGGCUGAUACCGUGUGGACUGUGUCGCCAUGGAGAUCGUAGCAUGGCAUUCUGUGACCCACUAGCCCGACGACCAUCACGCCUGUGGGCAUCC